rnacentral:lncRNA from 1 species
CAUCAAUUUGUUGCGAUCAAUUUGGAGGCGCCGCAUUGCAUCCACAGUCUCCAAACUUAAAUUAGGAACGCCUCGAAUAUACGUAGUUGUUAGACGAGGGAAUAUAGGGAGGGAUGUGAUUGUGAAGCUUCUUCCUUCUGAUUCUUCUUCUCCCCACCUAUAUGAUAUUUCUCUCAAAUUCGGGCACUCUUUUAUAUACAACUUCGAGAGAGUCUCGCUGUUACUCAAUAACCAAUCAGCUGGCAGACAUUCCACACCGAUCUUCUCAAUCCUCAAUUCUUCAAGGCAUGACGAGACAUGACUUGGAACACUCAUCAAUUGCUCGCAAUCAUUAAUAUCCAAAUGUUGGAGGCGAGGAAAUAGCUUCACUUCACUUCCAUCCGAAAUUUCUAUUUCUGCCCACUCUGCCAGCUUAGGCAUUGAAGACAAUUCAAACCUCUCGAGAGCUGGGAAAACAAUGCUUGUGUCCUUGUUCACCAUUCCAUAGAAUGAUGAAUUUAUACACUUCACAUUGCUCAAUCCCCCCAAAUCAAGGGACUUGAGAUUGGGCAAGUGCCCCAACAUUGGCAUCUCUUCACAUUCUCUGCAGUACUUGAGUGAUAACGACAUUAACUUGUUAAGUAGCAGCCAAGAGCCUUGAGGCGCAUCCCGAACUGCCAUCUUCUGAGUCCAUGAUGGAAAUCUUUUGCCGUUGAAUCCAUCAAUCUCUAACUCCCUCAGAUCUGAGUGAGGUUGAAGGCCUUCCAAUACAUCCUCAUCAUUUCCAAUGUCAUCACCCCAUUUCAAACACAGCUCCAAUAUUUUUGACUUUUUGAAUAAAUUGGCUUUCCCAGCCUCAUCCUUGUCAUGAACCCUUUCCAGAUUGCCAAUCCAUAGCUUUCCUUUAAGAUUAUUCAAACUUCCGAGCUCUUCAAUUUUGCAGCCAUUCUCGUCGCCCACUGGAAAGUGCGUUAGCGUUUGGAGAGAAGUUAAUCUCCCAAUUCCCAUAGGCAACUCUACAUCCUCAUUAAUAUAAAGAUGCCUCAAGUUAAUCAAGUACUUAAUCGUACUGGGCAGUUUUCUCUCAAUUCUUCUCACAAUUCUCCAAUACAAACCUUGUGUGUCUACUCUCAACGUCUGCAAGUGAAAGAAUUCACCAAUCCAAUCCGGCAAAUCUUUAAUACUUGUCUUUGAAAUGUCAAAAUCUCUCAAAUGUAUCAACUUUUUAAUCGAACUUGGCAGCUCUUUUAUAACUAUAGAGUCAACACGUAAAACAUGCAAACUUUCCAAGUCUGAGAAGUUGAUAUCAGAAAUAUCACCUUCCGAUGUUAUUAGUAAUGUACGCAAAGACUUUGCCAUUUCUUUUGGGAUACGACUUGAUUCGUCUCCAUAAUAGUUGUCUCCGAGAAUCAUGUAUCGAACUCGGCUGCUACCACCUGUACUGUUAGAGGAGCUUGAAACAGAACAAGCGAGAUCGUGCACAAGAUCAUGCAUGCCACAACUUUCUACAUUUCCAAAACGAUCUCUCUUUGAAACUUGCAGUAAAGAGUUGUGAAGAAGAAGGUUGAUAAAUUUUUCGCCCAUGGACUCCAUGUCAUCCCUUUCAUCAGCUGGAAGAAAACCUUCUGCCAUCCAAAACUCAAUCAGUUCUUGUAUAAUGAUUUUGGAGCCUUUAGGAAACAUGGCACAGUAAGCAAAGCACUUCUUAAGUAAUGGCAGAGACAAAUUAUCAAAGCUCAAUCUUAAUAUUUUUGUGAUAUUAUCUCCACCUUCAUUUGGUGCAAGCCAUUUCUCCUCGAUUGAACGCCAUUUCUCCUCAGAUUGAUUGCUCAGUAUUCCCCCAACUACGUUGGCAGCUAAUGGCAAACCCUGAAAUCUUCUUGCAAUCUUUCUCCCAAUGUCCUCAAAUUCCGACGGAACAUCUUCUUUUCUGAAUGCUUUUGCUCUAAUUAUUAACCAACACUCUUCAUCGGAUAAGCCUUUCAACUCAUGUACAUGAAGUGGAUUCACAAUUGAAGCAACCUUCAUACUUCUGGUGGUGACAACAAUUGCAUUUCCCUUAACAGAACUAACUCCCAACAAGGAAUUGAUAAAAUCUUCCCAUUUCGAAAGAUCUUCAUUCCAUACAUCAUCAAGAAUAAGAAGAUAUGUUUUAUCUUUCAAAGUUUUUUGAAGUUUUGAAAGAAUAUCUUGCUUACUCUCAACUUCAACUCCAUCAGAAGAAAACUCUCUGAGAAUUUUCUUGAAAAGAAUGAUUGGAUCAAAAUUAGGAGAAACAUGCACCCAAAUAUGUGAUCCAAAUCGAGUCUCAUUCUUUAGACGAUUGAAGACUCUCCUAGUCAACAGGGCCGUCUCUGAGGGCGGGCCAGCAUGGGCGACCGCCCAGGGCCCAUCAUUUUUGGGGGCCCAAAAUUUUUUAUAUUCUCUUAUAUAUACUAUUAUUAUUAUUGGCCUAACUUUCUUCUUGUGUAUACUAUUACCAUUGAAUAAAAAAAAAUGAGGCCAAAAAAAUUUCAUCCUGAAUAAUUUUGGGGCCCCCAAAAAUUAUAAGGUCUAAUAUCAUUUUUUGUGUAUACUAUGCGCAUUGACUCUAUCAUGAAACAAUUAGAAGGUCUAAUAUCUAAUACAAGUUUGACUAUUGCUAAGAGUUUUGCAUCUAAUAUGAAUAUGGAGCCAAUAUUUUUAAUAAAAUGUCAUUUAGAAUUUGAAUAUUUUGUAGUUGUUGUGGACAUAACGAUUACUUCUUUAAAAUGUAGAUUUAAAGAAAUGAAAUCAUUUGAUCAUAUAUUUGGUUUUCAUUUGAUUCGAAAACUUUAAAAUUUUUGGAUAGUGAAAAAUUAAGACAUUAAUGUGUUAAUUUUAAAUCUACUUUUACUCAUUAUAUGAGUUAGAUGAUUUAUUUAUUGAAUUAAAAAUAUUACAAAUGAAAUUAUCAAAUAAAAUAACUUCAACUAUUGAAAUUCUUGAAUUUAUGAAAAUUACAGAUUGUUAUCCAAAUGUUGCAAUAUUGUUAACUAUGUCUGUAACAGUAGCUUCGGCUGAGAAGAGUUUAUGGAAGUUAAAAUUAUUGAAGACAUAUUUAAAAACGUCGAUAUGGCAAAAAAGAUUAAAUAGUUUAGCAAUUUUUUGUAUUAAAAAAUAUAUCUUAAAAAAUAUUGAAACAAAUGUUCUUAUAGAUGACUUUGCAAGUAAAAAAGGCGAGAAUAAGUCAUUUUUUUUAUAAUUAUUAAUAUACUUUUUACUGAAAUAUUAUAAUAUGACUUUAAAAAAAGUGUUUUUUUGUGUUGUUAUGAUGGUGAAUAGAGGGCCCAUUUUUAUCGUUUCGCCCUGGGCCCAUUUUUCGUCAGAAACGGCCCUGCUAGUCAAUGUCGUCUUCCCCAAUCCCCCCAUCCCGACAAUGGAAAUGAUGGAAACUGCGUGUUUAUCAGUUGUGAUGCUAUUGGUAAUCAUCUCAACUAUUUCCGACUCAACAUUAUCUCUUCCAAUAAAAAUUGGAUCAAGAGUGUAUGAAUCAGUUUCCAAAGCAGCAAUAACCAAAGCAGGCUCAUUAGCAAGCUUCUCUACGAGGCCAAGCUUGGCGGCCUCUUUGUUAAUGAACUCCAAAUUCUCAUUGAUUUCUUUGAUUUUAAGAGCCAUAUUUCGAGAACGUGAAAUAUGCUUGAAGCAUGAGAAGCAUGAUGGUACCUUUUCCUCCUCGGGCUCAGUGGGCUUGAUUUGUUUGGAGAGAAGAUNUUCCGUAGAAUGAAUAAUUUAUACACUUCAAAUUCAACCAAUGAUACAACACAAGGGACUUGAGAUUGGGCAAGUGCCCAACAUUGGAACACUCGUCAAUUGCGGGCAAUCAUGAAUUUCCAAAUGUUGGAGGCGAGGAAAUAGCUUCACUUCACUUCCAUCCGAAAUUUCUAUUUCUGGCCACUCUGCCAGCUUAAGCAUGUACCACAAUAUGAGCACUUCGAGAGCUGGAAAAGCAAUGCCUGACUCCUUGUUCACCAUUCCGUAGAAUGAUGAAUUUAUACACUUCACAGUUAAACAAUCCCACAACUCAAGGGACUUGAGAUUUGGCAAGUGCCCCAACAUUGGGAUCUCUUCACAUUCUUCACAGUCAAUGAGUGAUAACGAGAUUAACUUGUUAAGUAGCACCCAAGAGCCUUGAGGCGCAUCUCCAACUGACAUCUUCUCAGUCCAUAAUGGAAAUCUUUUUCCAUUGAAUCGCUCGAUCUCUAACUCCCUCAGAUCUGAGUGAGGUUGAAGGCCUUCCAAUACACUCUCAUCAUUUCUUUCACCAUCUCUGUUCCAACCCCAUUCCAAACACAAGUUCAAUAUUUUAGACUUUUUGAAUAAAUUGGCUUUCCCAGCCUCUUCCUUGUCAUGAACCCUUUCCAGAUUCCGAAUCUGCAACUCUCCUUUAAGAUUAUUCAAACUUCCGAGCUCUUCAAUUUUGCAGCCAUUCUCGUCGCCCACUGGAAAGCGCGUUAGCGUUUGGAGAGAAGUUAAUCUCCCAAUUCCCAUAGGCAACUCUACAUGCUCACUAAUAUAAAGAUGCCUCAAGUUAAUCAAGUACUUAAUCGUACUUGGCAGUUUUCCCAUAUAUCCUAAAGGUAGUCUCAACGUCUGCAAGUGAAAGAAUUCACCAAUCCAAUCCGGCAAAACUUCAAUUCUUGUAUCUGAAAUGUCAAAAUCUCUCAAAUGUAUCAACUUCUGAAUCGAACUUGGCAGCACUUUAACUCCAUAACCUUGAAGACGUAAAACAUGAAGACUUUCCAAGUCUGAAAAGUUCAUAUCAGAACCACCAUAAUAGAUUGAUGAUAUUAAUAAUGUACGCAAAGAUUUUACCAUUUCUUUUGGAAUUGGACUUGAUUUGUCUCCACAAUAAUUGUCUUCUUCGCGAAUCAUGUAUCGAACUCGACUGUUACCACAGUUAGAGGAACUUGAAACAGAACAAGCGAGAUCAUGCACAAGAUCGUGCAUGCCACAACUUUCUACAUUUCCGUCAUCAUCUCUUUCUGAAACUUGCAGUAAAGAGUUGUGCAGAAGAACGUUGAUAAAUUUUUCACCC